rnacentral:rRNA from 1 species
UUAAGUGACUAAGCGUACACGGUGGAUGCCUGGGCAGUCAGAGGCGAUGAAGGACGUACUAACUUGCGAUAAGCGCAGAUAAGGCAGUAAGAGCCGUUUGAGUCUGCGAUUUCCGAAUGGGGAAACCCAACUGCAUAAGCAGUUACUGUUAACUGAAUACAUAGGUUAACAGAGCAAACCGGGGGAACUGAAACAUCUAAGUACCCCGAGGAGAAGAAAUCAACCGAGAUUCCGGUAGUAGCGGCGAGCGAACCUGGAUUAGCCCUUAAGCACUCGGUGAAGUAGGUGAACAAGCUGGAAAGCUUGGCGAUACAGGGUGAUAGCCCCGUAACCGACGCUUCAUCGAGCGUGAAAUCGAGUAGGGCGGGACACGUGAUAUCCUGUCUGAAUAUGGGGGGACCAUCCUCCAAGGCUAAAUACUCCUGACUGACCGAUAGUGAACCAGUACCGUGAGGGAAAGGCGAAAAGAACCCCUGUGAGGGGAGUGAAAUAGAACCUGAAACCGUGUACGUACAAGCAGUAGGAGCACCUUCGUGGUGUGACUGCGUACCUUUUGUAUAAUGGGUCAGCGACUUAUAUUCAGUGGCAAGGUUAACCGUAUAGGGGAGCCGUAGCGAAAGCGAGUCUUAACUGGGCGCUCAGUCUCUGGAUAUAGACCCGAAACCGGGUGAUCUAGCCAUGGGCAGGUUGAAGGUUGAGUAACAUCAACUGGAGGACCGAACCGACUAAUGUUGAAAAAUUAGCGGAUGACUUGUGGCUAGGGGUGAAAGGCCAAUCAAACUCGGAGAUAGCUGGUUCUCCCCGAAAGCUAUUUAGGUAGCGCCUCGGACGAAUACUACUGGGGGUAGAGCACUGUUAAGGCUAGGGGGUCAUCCCGACUUACCAACCCUUUGCAAACUCCGAAUACCAGUAAGUACUAUCCGGGAGACACACGGCGGGUGCUAACGUCCGUCGUGGAGAGGGAAACAACCCAGACCGCCAGCUAAGGUCCCAAAGUAUUGCUAAGUGGGAAACGAUGUGGGAAGGCUCAGACAGCUAGGAUGUUGGCUUAGAAGCAGCCAUCAUUUAAAGAAAGCGUAAUAGCUCACUAGUCGAGUCGGCCUGCGCGGAAGAUGUAACGGGGCUAAGCAAUACACCGAAGCUGCGGCAAUAUCUUUUAGAUAUUGGGUAGGGGAGCGUUCUGUAAGCCGUUGAAGGUGAAUCGUAAGGUUUGCUGGAGGUAUCAGAAGUGCGAAUGCUGACAUGAGUAACGACAAAGGGGGUGAAAAACCUCCUCGCCGGAAGACCAAGGGUUCCUGUCCAACGUUAAUCGGGGCAGGGUGAGUCGACCCCUAAGGUGAGGCCGAAAGGCGUAAUCGAUGGGAAACGGGUUAAUAUUCCCGUACUUCUGACUAUUGCGAUGGGGGGACGGAGAAGGCUAGGUGGGCCAGGCGACGGUUGUCCUGGUUCAAGUGCGUAGGCUUGAGAGUUAGGUAAAUCCGGCUCUCUCUAAGGCUGAGACACGACGUCGAGCUGCUACGGUAGUGAAGUCAUUGAUGCCAUGCUUCCAGGAAAAGCCUCUAAGCUUCAGAUAGUCAGGAAUCGUACCCCAAACCGACACAGGUGGUCGGGUAGAGAAUACCAAGGCGCUUGAGAGAACUCGGGUGAAGGAACUAGGCAAAAUGGUACCGUAACUUCGGGAGAAGGUACGCUCUUGAUGGUGAAGUCCCUCGCGGAUGGAGCUGACGAGAGUCGCAGAUACCAGGUGGCUGCAACUGUUUAUUAAAAACACAGCACUGUGCAAAAUCGCAAGAUGACGUAUACGGUGUGACGCCUGCCCGGUGCCGGAAGGUUAAUUGAUGGGGUUAGCGCAAGCGAAGCUCUUGAUCGAAGCCCCGGUAAACGGCGGCCGUAACUAUAACGGUCCUAAGGUAGCGAAAUUCCUUGUCGGGUAAGUUCCGACCUGCACGAAUGGCGUAAUGAUGGCCACGCUGUCUCCACCCGAGACUCAGUGAAAUUGAAAUCGCUGUGAAGAUGCAGUGUACCCGCGGCUAGACGGAAAGACCCCGUGAACCUUUACUACAGCUUGGCACUGAACAUUGAACCUACAUGUGUAGGAUAGGUGGGAGGCUAUGAAGACGUGACGCCAGUUGCGUUGGAGCCGUCCUUGAAAUACCACCCUUGUAUGUUUGAUGUUCUAACUUAGCCCCAUUAUCUGGGGUGAGGACAGUGCCUGGUGGGUAGUUUGACUGGGGCGGUCUCCUCCCAAAGAGUAACGGAGGAGCACGAAGGUGGGCUAAUCACGGUUGGACAUCGUGAGGUUAGUGCAAUGGCAUAAGCCCGCUUAACUGCGAGAAUGACGGUUCGAGCAGGUGCGAAAGCAGGUCAUAGUGAUCCGGUGGUUCUGUAUGGAAGGGCCAUCGCUCAACGGAUAAAAGGUACUCCGGGGAUAACAGGCUGAUACCGCCCAAGAGUUCAUAUCGACGGCGGUGUUUGGCACCUCGAUGUCGGCUCAUCACAUCCUGGGGCUGAAGUCGGUCCCAAGGGUAUGGCUGUUCGCCAUUUAAAGUGGUACGCGAGCUGGGUUUAGAACGUCGUGAGACAGUUCGGUCCCUAUCUGCCGUGGGCGUUGGAAGAUUGAAGGGGGCUGCUCCUAGUACGAGAGGACCGGAGUGGACGAACCUCUGGUGUUCGGGUUGUGUCGCCAGACGCAUUGCCCGGUAGCUAAGUUCGGAAUUGAUAAGCGCUGAAAGCAUCUAAGCGCGAAGCGAGCCCUGAGAUGAGUCUUCCC